rnacentral:rRNA from 1 species
GACGAACGCUGGCGGCGUGCCUAAUACAUGCAAGUAGAACGCACAGUUUAUACCGUAGCUUGCUACACCAUAGACUGUGAGUUGCGAACGGGUGAGUAACGCGUAGGUAACCUGCCUGGUAGCGGGGGAUAACUAUUGGAAACGCUAGCUAAUACCGCAUAAUAUUGAUUAUUGCAUGAUAAUUGAUUGAAAGAUGCUAUUGCAUCACUACCAGAUGGACCUGCGUUGUAUUAGCUAGUAGGUGAGGUAACGGCUCACCUAGGCGACGAUACAUAGCCGACCGGAGAGGGUGAUCGGCCACCCUGGGACUGAGACACGGCCCAGACUCCUACGGGAGGCAGCAGUAGGGAAUCUUCGGCAAUGGACGAAAGUCUGACCGAGCAACGCCGCGGGAGGGAAGAAGGUUGUCGGAUCGUAAAGCUCGGUUGUAAGAGAAGAACGGGUGUGAGAGUGGAAAGUUCACACUGUGACGGUAUCUGACCAGAAAGAGACGGCUAACUACGUG